GCGUCCCAUUAGGUAGUUGGCGGGGUAAUGGCCCACCAAGCCGACGAUGGGUAGCUGGUCUGAGAGGACGAUCAGCCACACUGGAACUGAGACACGGUCCAGACUCCUACGGGAGGCAGCAGUGAGGAAUAUCGCGCAAUGCCCGAAAGGGUGACGCAGCGACGCCGCGUGGAGGAUGAAGGCCCUAUGGGUCGUAAACUCCUUUUGCGAGGGAAGAACGGAGCGCUAUAGGCGUUCUUGACGGUACCUCGAGAAAAAGCAUCGGCUAACUACGUGCCAGCAGCCGCGGUAAUACGUAGGAUGCGAGCGUUGUCCGGAUUCACUGGGUGUAAAGGGAGCGCAGGCGGGUCGGUAAGUCAUUGGUGAAAUUCCCGGGCUCAACCCGGGGACUGCCACUGAUACUGCCGGUCUUGAGUGUGGAAGAGGUUGGUGGAAUUCAUGGUGUAGCGGUGAAAUGCGUAGAUAUCAUGAAGAACACCGAUGGUGAAGGCAGCCAACUGGUCCAUUACUGACGCUCAUGCUCGAAAGCGUGGGGAUCAAACAGGAUUAGAUACCCUGGUAGUCCACGCCCUAAACGAUGGAUACUCGAUGUCGGGCCGCAAGGUUCGGUGUCCAAGCUAACGCAUUAAGUAUCCCACCUGGGGAGUACGAUCGCAAGGUUGAAACUCAAAGGAAUUGACGGGGGCCCGCACAAGCAGUGGAGCAUGUGGUUUAAUUCGAUCCAACGCGAAGAACCUUACCUGGGUUUGAAAGGCUCUGUAAACCGGUGAAAGCCGGCUAGUGUAGCAAUACACGCGGAGUACAGGUGCUGCAUGGCUGUCGUCAGCUCGUGCCGUGAGGUGUUAGGUUAAGUCCUGCAACGAGCAACCCCUGCACUUAGUUGCCAUCAGGUCAAGCUGGGCACUCUAAGUGGACUGCCUACGCAAGUAGCGAGGAAGGUGGGGAUGACGUCAAGUCCUCAUGGCCCUUACACCCAGGGCCACACACGUGCUACAAUGGCCACUACAACGGGUUGCAAGAUCGCAAGGUCGAGCCAAUCCCUUAAAAGUGGUCUCAGUUCGGAUUGAGGGCUGCAACUCGCCCUCAUGAAGCUGGAAUUGCUAGUAAUCGCGGAUCAGCACGCCGCGGUGAAUACGUUCCCGGGCCUUGUACACACCGCCCGUCAAGCCAUGGAAGCUGGGGGUACCCGAAGUCGUUCGCCCAACCGCAAGGAGGGUAGCGCCGAAGGU
rnacentral:rRNA from 1 species